GAUGAACGCUAGCGACAGGCUUAACACAUGCAAGUCGAGGGGCAGCCGGGGGGAGUAGCAAUACUACCCGCCCGGCGACCGGCGCACGGGUGAGUAACACGUAUGAAACCUGCCCGUAGCAGGGGGGAUAAGCGGAAGAAAUUCCGUCUAAUACCGCGUAACAACCCAUGGAGGCAUCUCCGUGGGUUUAAAGGAAGCGAUUCCGGCUACGGAUGGUCAUGCGUCGCAUUAGCUAGUUGGCGGGGUAACGGCCCACCAAGGCGACGAUGCGUAGGGGUUCUGAGAGGAAGGUCCCCCACACUGGUACUGAGACACGGACCAGACUCCUACGGGAGGCAGCAGUGAGGAAUAUUGGUCAAUGGCCGCAGGGCUGAACCAGCCAAGUCGCGUGAGGGAUGACGGUCCUAUGGAUUGUAAACCUCUUUUGUCAGGGAGCAAAGGGCGCCACGUGUGGCGCUUUGCGAGUACCUGAAGAAAAAGCAUCGGCUAACUCCGUG
rnacentral:rRNA from 1 species